CUCAGCCACCCAAAGUGCUGGGAUUACAGGUGUGAGCCACCGCUGUAUCAUAUUUUUAUUACUACCAGCACUGUAAAAGAAUUUCUGAUUUCUCCAGAACCUCAUUAACAGAGAAUAUUGUAAACCUAGUGAGAGAUGGCUUGUCAUAGUUUCAAAUUUGUGUUUUUCUUUCCAUAGCAAAGUUGAAAGCAUCUUUUUUCUUUCAGUUUCAUACAUUCAUAUAGCUCAUAAGAGCCAUUUGCAUUUCUUUUUGGAGAGGACAUUUUAUU
rnacentral:lncRNA from 10 species